UACCAGCUGGCUGCAACUGUUUAUUAAAAACACAGCACUGUGCAAACACGAAAGUGGACGUAUACGGUGUGACGCCUGCCCGGUGCCGGAAGGUUAAUUGAUGGGGUCAGCGCAAGCGAAGCUCCUGAUCGAAGCCCCGGUAAACGGCGGCCGUAACUAUAACGGUCCUAAGGUAGCGAAAUUCCUUGUCGGGUAAGUUCCGACCUGCACGAAUGGCGUAAUGAUGGCCAGGCUGUCUCCACCCGAGACUCAGUGAAAUUGAACUCGCUGUGAAGAUGCAGUGUACCCGCGGCAAGACGGAAAGACCCCGUGAACCUUUACUAUAGCUUGACACUGAACAUUGAGCCUUGAUGUGUAGGAUAGGUGGGAGGCUUUGAAGUGUGGACGCCAGUCUGCAUGGAGCCGACCUUGAAAUACCACCCUUUAAUGUUUGAUGUUCUAACGUGGACCCGUGAUCCGGGUUGCGGACAGUGUCUGGUGGGUAGUUUGACUGGGGCGGUCUCCUCCUAAAGAGUAACGGAGGAGCACGAAGGUUGGCUAAUCCUGGUCGGACAUCAGGAGGUUAGUGCAAUGGCAUAAGCCAGCUUGACUGCGAGCGUGACGGCGCGAGCAGGUGCGAAAGCAGGUCAUAGUGAUCCGGUGGUUCUGAAUGGAAGGGCCAUCGCUCAACGGAUAAAAGGUACUCCGGGGAUAACAGGCUGAUACCGCCCAAGAGUUCAUAUCGACGGCGGUGUUUGGCACCUCGAUGUCGGCUCAUCACAUCCUGGGGCUGAAGUAGGUCCCAAGGGUAUGGCUGUUCGCCAUUUAAAGUGGUACGCGAGCUGGGUUUAGAACGUCGUGAGACAGUUCGGUCCCUAUCUGCCGUGGGCGCUGGAGAACUGAGGGGGGCUGCUCCUAGUACGAGAGGACCGGAGUGGACGCAUCACUGGUGUUCGGGUUGUCAUGCCAAUGGCACUGCCCGGUAGCUAAAUGCGGAAGAGAUAAGUGCUGAAAGCAUCUAAGCACGAAACUUGCCCCGAGAUGAGUUCUCCCUGAGACUUUAGGUCUCCUGAAGGAACGUUGAAGACGACGACGUUGAUAGGCCGGGUGUGUAAGCGCAGCGAUGCGUUGAGCUAACCGGUACUAAUGAACCGUGAGGCUUAACCUUACA
rnacentral:rRNA from 7 species